AAGAGCGGUCAGCAGAGAACACAACUGUCUGCAGAACUCUGUCUCCUUUCUCUUCUGCAGAGCCCAGGGCAGCAGUGGCAGGAGUUGAGUGUUUCCAAACCAUACUGCCGCAUGCCACACAACUAUGGACAAGCUGUGUCCACCUUCUGGGCCUCAAUUUCCCAUCUCUGAAGUCAAGCUGCUGUCAGCAAGGCGGGAGAGAACAGGGUGGGAACAUACCCCGACUUUGUGCCCACCCCAGCCGCAGUAUCCCACUGGACUUUAUUUCUCGGAGGAAAUGAAAGAAAACGUCACGAGGAUUGUGCCCAACGCUCAUUCACUUCUGGUCGCCGGGAAGCCUCUGGCUGCCCCUGCGCAGUGGAGCUGUUUGUGCCAAGCUGCAGGCCGGCCCU
rnacentral:lncRNA from 1 species